GGGGCUGAUUCUGGAUUCGACGGGAUUUGCGAAACCCAAGGUGCAUGCCGAGGGGCGGUUGGCCUCGUAAAAAGCCGCAAAAAAAUAGUCGCAAACGACGAAACCUACGCUUUAGCAGCUUAAUAACCUGCUUAGAGCCCUCUCUCCCUAGCCUCCGCUCUUAGGACGGGGAUCAAGAGAGGUCAAACCCAAAAGAGAUCGCGCGGAUGCCCUGCCUGGGGUUGAAGCGUUAAAACUAAUCAGGCUAGUCUGGUAGUGGCGUGUCCGUCCGCAGGUGCCAGGCGAAUGUAAAGACAGACUAAGCAUGUAGUACCGAGGAUGUAGGAAUUUCGGACGCGGGUUCAACUCCCGCCAGCUCCACCA
rnacentral:tmRNA from 2 species